rnacentral:rRNA from 1 species
UACGUAGGGGGCAAGCGUUGUCCGGAUUUAUUGGGCGUAAAGAGCGUGUAGGCGGCCAGACAGGUCCGUUGUGAAAACUCGAGGCUCAACCUCGAGAUGUCGAUGGAAACCGUCUGGCUAGAGUCCGGAAGAGGAGUGUGGAAUUCCUGGUGUAGCGGUGAAAUGCGCAGAUAUCAGGAGGAACACCGGUGGCGAAGGCGGGUCUCUGGGCCGAUACUGACGCUGAGGAGCGAAAGCAUGGGUAGCGAACAGG